AUUGAACGCUGGCGGCAGGCUUAACACAUGCAAGUCGAGCGAGCGGCGGACGGGUGAGUAAUGUCUGGGAAACUGCCUGAUGGAGGGGGAUAACUACUGGAAACGGUAGCUAAUACCGCAUACCAUCAGAUCUGCCCAGAUGGGAUUAGCUAGUGGGUGGGGUAAUGGCUCACCUGGGCUACGAUCCAUAGCGGGUCUGAGAGGAUGACUAGCCGGACUGGGACUGUGACACGGUCCAGACGCCUAGGGGAGGCAGCAGUGGGGAAUAUUGCACAAUGGGCGCAAGCCUGAUGCAGCCAGGCCGCGAGUGUGAAGAAGGCCUUCGGGUUGUAAAGCACUUUCAGCGAGGAGGCGGUACUCGCAGAAGAAGCACCGGCUAACUCCGUGCCAGCAGCCGCGGUAAUUC
rnacentral:rRNA from 1 species